UACAGAUGUAACAACUUUUGUUGUACAACCUUUGCUGAAGGUUUCGUGUUCCUUCAUUUAGCGUAUUAUAAUUUGCUUAACCAAUUUUUCUCAUUUUUAAAAUUUCUUUGAAACAGAACAGAGGGGUACAGACAUUGUCCUAGACAAUAGUUCUAUUCAAGCUCAAGCUUGAAUAGAACUCAAGCUCUUCAUGGCCAAAUCACAGUCAUACAUAGUCAUGUGGGUGGUUUAUCAUAUGUCCUUUCCUGCCCCUUCUGCGAGGUGAAAAGGAUAGUCUCCCACAGAGGGGCAUUUCACCCAGGUGAUGUUUGCAACUUUUUAAGCAGGCCGGUCCGGGAACUGCAAGGCAGUCUGUACCUUUAAUGACUUCAUUCCUCUUUCUCUAUCCCAGCUCUGCCUUCAGAGAUUUCUGCAUUCUUCCAAGGGAAACCAGCAAAAUAUGAAGAAGUCCUGUAGGGAGAAGCAGAAACCCAGGACAG